rnacentral:rRNA from 1 species
GGAUGCUUACACAUGCAAGUCGAACGGGCAGCGCGGGAGCAUCCUGGCGGCGAGUGGCGAACGGGUGACGUAACUAUAUCGGAACGUGCCCUGUAGCGGGGUGAUAACUACUCGAAAGAUGGACUAAUACCGCAUACGCUCUACGGAGGAAAGCGGGGGUCGCAAGACCUCGCACUAUAGGAGCGGCCGAUAUCGGAUUAGCUAGUUGGCGGGGUAAAAGCCCACCAAGGCUACGAUCCGUAGCUGGUCUGAGAGGAUGAUCAGCCACACUGGAACUGAGACACGGUCCAGACUCCUACGGGCAGGCAGCAGUGCCGGAAUUUUGGACAACUGGGCGCAAGCCUGAUCCAGCCAUGCCGCGUGAC